CGCAGAUUACAUGUUCCUACUUAUGGAAUUGCAUCUUUAGAAGUGGUGUGUUUAUUGGAAUUUCCAAGUUAAGUCUGAACCAUUUGUGUGAAUAAUUGAACCAACCUCUUCACUCAAGGCAACCAGGUCUCAUUAGAAUACAAACAUAUAUGUUUCCUUUCAAACAGGUGCAACCAUGCUACACAGAUGUAAAGCUUUACUGCAGCAAAGAGUAAGCUUCUGUAGGGCUCUGAGUAAUUCUGCCAAGGGGAGAACUAAGGAGAGACACCCCUAAAGGUGCUCUAAAGGAAACGCAAAGCGUGAAUUCUAUCAAGGCUCUGGUGUCUGGAAAUGCUAUUGAAAUAGAAUGGAAAGAUGGCCACACAUCCAAAUUCCAUAAUAGUUGGUUACGGUUUUGCUGCCAGUGUGAACAAUGCAGGCAGGCACACAGUGGCCAGAAGGUCUUUGAUGUGCUGUCCAUUCCAGACCCAUUAGAACUCUCAGAUUUCUCAGUUUCUAGUAAGUGAUCAAAAGUGUUUCAAAAGUCAGAAUAAUUUUGUUCAAAUGAGCAAUUCAUGCCCAGAGGUU
rnacentral:misc_RNA from 1 species